rnacentral:rRNA from 1 species
CACUCACCGAUAAAGAGUUGAGUGGCGAACGGGUGAGUAACACGUGGGCAACCUGCCCAAAAGAGGGGGAUAACACCUGGAAACAGGUGCUAAUACCGCAUAACCAUAGUUACCGCAUGGUAACUAUGUAAAAGGUGGCUAUGCUACCGCUUUUGGAUGGGCCCGCGGCGCAUUAGCUGGUUGGUGGGGUAAAGGCUUACCAAGGCAAUGAUGCGUAGCCGAACUGAGAGGUUGAUCGGCCACAUUGGGACUGAGACACGGCCCAAACUCCUACGGGAGGCAGCAGUAGGGAAUCUUCCACAAUGGGCGAAAGCCUGAUGGAGCAACGCCGCGUGGGUGAAGAAGGUCUUCGGAUCGUAAAACCCUGUUGUUAGAGAAGAAAGUGCGUGAGAGUAACUGUUCACGUUUCGACGGUAUCUAACCAGAAAGCCACGGCUAACUACGUGCCAGCAGCCGCGGUAAUACGUAGGUGGCAAGCGUUAUCCGGAUUUAUUGGGCGUAAAGGGAACGCAGGCGGUCUUUUAAGUCUGAUGUGAAAGCCUUCGGCUUAACCGGAGUAGUGCAUUGGAAACUGGGAGACUUGAGUGCAGAAGAGGAGAGUGGAACUCCAUGUGUAGCGGUGAAAUGCGUAGAUAUAUGGAAGAACACCAGUGGCGAAAGCGGCUCUCUGGUCUGUAACUGACGCUGAGGUUCGAAAGCGUGGGUAGCAAACAGGAUUAGAUACCCUGGUAGUCCACGCCGUAAACGAUGAAUGCUAAGUGUUGGAGGGUUUCCGCCCUUCAGUGCUGCAGCUAACGCAAUAA